AUACGGAGGAUGCGAGCGUUAUCCGGAUUUAUUGGGUUUAAAGGGAGCGUAGGCGGGAGCUUAAGUCAGCGGUUAAAUGGUGCGGCUCAACCGUGCCCUGCCGUUGAAACUGGGUUUCUUGAGAGUGCAAGAGGCGGAUGGGAUUUCUGGGGUGACGGGGAAAUGCUUAGAUAUCAUGAAGAACUACGAUUGCGAAGGCAGUCCGCUGGGGCACGUCUGACGCUGAUGCUCGAAGGUGCGGGAAUCAAACAGGAUUAGAUACCCUGGUAGUCCGCACGGUAAACGAUGAUUACCCGCUGUCGGCGGCAGACAGUCGGCGGCCAAGCGAAAGCGAUAAGUAAUCCACCUGGGGAGUACGCCGGCAACGGUGAAACUCAAAUGAAUUGACGGGG
rnacentral:rRNA from 1 species